GGAGGGGACCACGCAGCAGCGCUGGCCCGCCGCGAGGCGGGCGGUGAGGAAAGUCCGAACACCGCAGGGCAGGGUGCCGGGUAACGCCCGGGCGCCGCGAGGCGAUGGAAAGUGCAACAGAAAAGAUACCGCCCCGCAAGGGGUAAGGGUGAAAUGGCGAGGUAAGAGCUCACCGCGUUCCCAGUAAUGAGAACGGCAUGGUAAACCCCACCUGGUGCAAGACCAAGUAAGCAGCUGAUUGAGAACGGCCCGUUCGAGGCUGCGGGUAGGUCGCACGGAACCGUAUGGCGACAUCCGGUCAAGAUAGAUUGCUGCAUAAACAGAAUUCGGCUUAUGUCCCCCUCCUAUC
rnacentral:RNase_P_RNA from 1 species